AUGACAGUAGCAGGUAAAGAAACCCCGGCUAACUCCGUGCCAGCAGCCGCGGUAAUACGGAUGGGGGUUAGCGUUGUUCGGAAUUACUGCGGCGUAAAGCGCGCGUAGGCGGAUCAGAAAGUAUUGGGGGUGAAAUCCCAGGGCUCAACCCUGGCAACUGCCUCCAUUAAACUCCUGGUCUAGAGUUCAGAGAGAGGUGAGUGGAACUCCGAGUGUAGAGGUGAAAUUCGUAGAUAUUCGGAAGAACACCAGAGGCGAAGCGGCUCACUGGCUCGAUACUGACGCUGAGGUGCGAAAGUGUGGGGAGCAAACAGGAUUAGAUACCCUGGUAGUCCACACCGUAAACGAUGAAUGCCAGUCGUCGGGCAGUAUACUGUUCGGUGACACACCUAACGGAUUAAGCAUUCCGCCUGGGGAGUACGGUCGCAAGAUUAAAACUCGAAGGAAUUGACGGGGGCCC
rnacentral:rRNA from 1 species